GUUGUCCGGCGGACCUAUGAUCAGCACCAGCUCGCGGGAGAAAGUGCUGCCGGACUUCUCCACACUGCCCAGCUGCACACGCCGGGGCUCCUGGGGCUGCCGUGGCUCGCUCACCGGGCGCGAAUCCUGAGGACCCAAACAGGGUGAGUGAUUUCUUGAAGGUUUCCUUGCUGAAGGCAUCACUGAAGGCUUCACAGGUGAGGGGCAGGCCAUUGUCUUCCCUCCGCACUAAGAGUGUCAGAUUGGACAUGGAGAUGUGACCACCAUGAAGUCCCUAGCAAGAAGUGAGCUUCAGAAUUUAGGGCCUGAGAAGCUCCCACCCAUGGUAGCAGAGGUCUGGGUCCAUCAGACCCAAGCAGGGACACAUGAAGCCUUCCCACCCUCUCUUCUGUCAGACCCAGGAACUGGGGCCUCAGUCUGGGUUCCUCUGGGCCCAGAGCCUCAAGGGAUGUCAAACUGUCAUCUUCUACAUCCUCACAUCCAUGACUGUCUCAUCCGUGGGCAGCAACUGCCGUCCACCCAACCACCAUCGCAGCAGGACCCGAGGGCGACUGGACUUGACACGCUGUUGUAGGACUGACAGCUGAGCUGAGCUCCAUGGUCUUCAGGUCGGACAGUCAUCACCAGCACACUGUGAGCCACAGCCUGGGCAUGCUCUGUGCCCCAAGCUAUGGACACUGGUUUACCGUUCUGGACACAGAAGCAAGCCUGGUUAUGUCAACACAGCUCCUUCCCCAUCCCCCAUGUGAGCCCUCCAUCCUCACCUUCAGCCACUGCAAGGUAGCAGGUGGAUUUCCACCUCUGGCUAUGCAGGGCAACUCCAGGUUCUCCCCUGCCCGUACAUGCCCCUCAUUCAGGCCUGGCCAGUCGAUGACAGGAGGUCCUGGGGGGACUGGAGAGCAUAGAUCACUCAGGGAUCCUGGGAACCCCAUCUACUCUUUCUGGGUGCUAUAAACUGCCUUAAUCUCCUCUUGUGGGCAAGGGAGAUGGUUCAGGAGGUAAGGGUACUUGGCAACAAGCCCAACAACCUGACUUCAAGUCCAUGGUGCAAGGAGAGACUUAAUUGCUGAAAGAUGUUCUCUGACUUCUCCACUUGGCAUGUGCAUACACACACGCACACAUGCACACACAACAACAACAACAACAACAAUAAUAAAUCUUAAAUUAUCCUUGAAUGCUUGCUUUUUGUUUCCAGUGCUGGGCUUGAAACCUGGGUUUAUGCUCAUCCCAGGCCAUAUGCUAUGGCUGAGUUACAAAGUCCAGCCCUCAGCAGCCCAGGCUGGCCUUACUGUCCUUUUGCCCCCAUCUCCCAAAUGCUGGGAUUACAGGUACACAACAUGGUGGCUGAUGACAA